rnacentral:tRNA from 1 species
GGGGAUGUGGCUCAGUUGGUAGAGUGUUUGCCUGUAUUGUACAAGGCCCUGGGUUUGAUCUCCAGCAUUUCAU